CUGCUGCCUCCCGUAGGAGUUUGGGCCGUGUCUCAGUCCCAAUGUGGCCGGUCACCCUCUCAGGUCGGCUACUGAUCGUCGCCUUGGUGAGCCGUUACCUCACCAACUAGCUAAUCAGACGCGGGUCCAUCUCAUACCACCGGAGUUUUUCACACAAAGAUAUGCAUCCCCGUGCGCUUAUACGGUAUUAGCAGUCAUUUCUAACUGUUAUCCCCCUGUAUGAGGCAGGUUACCCACGCGUUACUCACCCGUCCG
rnacentral:rRNA from 1 species